CCUACGGGCGGCUGCAGUGGGGAAUAUUGCACAAUGGGGGAAACCCUGAUGCAGCGACGCCGCGUGAGUGAAGAAGUAAUUCGUUAUGUAAAGCUCUAUCAGCAGGGAAGAAAAUGACGGUACCUGAGUAAGAAGUCCCGGCUAACUACGUGCCAGAAGCCGCGGUAAUACGGAGGGGGCAAGCGUUAUCCGGAUUUUCUGGGUGUAAAGGGAGCGUAGACGGCAGUGCAAGUCUGGAGUGAAAGGCGGGGGCUCAACCCCCGGACUGCUCUUGAAACUGUACGGCUUGAGUGCAGGAGAGGUAAGUGGAAUGCGUGGUGUAGCGGUGAAAUGCGUAGAUAUUAGGAGGAACACCAGUGGCGAAGGCGGCUUACUGGACUGUAACUGACGUUGAGGCUCGAAAGCGUGGGGAGCAAACAGGAUUAGAUACCCCAGUAGUC
rnacentral:rRNA from 1 species